rnacentral:ncRNA from 1 species
GUGUAGCUCUAUAAAGGUAAAAAAUUUAGUAAAGUGUAAGAAACUCUACUCGGCCUAAGCAAAAGUGAACCUUUUGCUAAACAUCAUCAAAUUGCGGAAACCCCUUAAAGCUAUUUUAACUAAAUGUGUUAAGAAACUAAUACAUGGCUCAGGUAAUGACUCGAGUUAUAGUAAAAUCAAAAUAGAUGCACGAAAGGAAAUAGGCAAUCCGCAGCCAAGCACCGACUAUAGGUAAUUCAGUAAGGUGUGCAGUUCAUCGACUAAACGAUGGUGGGUGUUAAAAUUUGUAGAUUUUAAUGCUUAAGAUAUAGUCAGACCCUACUUGAAAAAGUACA